GUAGAGGAGCAGGACCCUGGGCAUGCUAGGGGAUGCAGUUGCCCCCAGCCUCAACACUUCAAAACCCAUACUAAAAAGAUAUGAGGCCUUCUAUUUUUUUUUUCUUCUGGUAUCAGGGAAGCUCAAUGUUUCUUCUGUUCAUUUGAUUUCACAAGUGCCCAGAUUUUCACAACGAGAGGUGGCUUUGGUCACCAUAGUGGUUUCUUAGGUGGGCAACAGUGAAUUUCCAGAUCACUUGCUACCUCUAGAAAGGGCUGCAGUGUAAAGAAAACAAGCCAUAAACAGUGCAAGAAACAUGGACCUCCUCUUUGUGUACUUGUUCUAGCUUCCUAACAUAUAGGUACCCAGGUGCCACCUCUUCAGCUAAAACCGAACAAAACAAAUGAAAAAAAAAACACAAACUUCCUAAAGUCUCAACAAACAAUAGCCAGCAUGUUGAGUAUGAUCAGACUCAUUCCAAAAGAAGUUCUCCAAUUCAUUGGCUGCUUCAGCUCGUUAUCUCCCAGACUGCAGAUUUUUACAUCUUGGCAUUCACUCUGGCUAUAGCAAUGUAGCAAUGACAAGGGCUGAAAAUGAUCCUCUUUAAGAUCAGAUUUUUCUAUUGUCACACUAAAGUUGGAUUAGGAAUCAUGUAAGAUCUUUGAGGACAGGAGCUGUAUUUCAUCUGAUCUUUCUAUCUUCAGCACUUGGCCAGAAAUCUCCCUAGGUGCUUAAUAAAUAAUAAAUUAAUAAAUAAAAAUUGAACUUAAUAAAUAAAAAAUUGAACUG